rnacentral:tRNA from 1 species
GGGCGAUUAGCUCAGUUGGUAGAGCAUCUCGUUUACACCGAGGGGGUCGGCGGUUCGAGUCCGUCAUCGCCCACCA